rnacentral:rRNA from 1 species
GAGUUUGAUCCUGGCUCAGAACGAACGCUGGCGGCGUGCCUAACACAUGCAAGUCGAACGUGAUCCAGAGCUUGCUCUGGUGAAAGUGGCGCACGGGUGAGUAACGCGUGGAUAACCUACCCUGGUAUCCGGGAUAACAUUCCGAAAGGGGUGCUAAUACCGGAUAAGCCCACGGGCUCUUUGGAGCUGGCGGGAAAAGGUGGCCUCUAUUUAUAAGCUACUGUAUCAGGAUGGGUCCGCGUACCAUUAGCUAGUUGGCGGUGUAACGGACACCAAGGCGACGAUGGUUAGCUGGUCUGAGAGGAUGAUCAGCCACACUGGAACUGAGACACGGUCCAGACUCCUACGGGAGGCAGCAGUGGGGAAUUUUGCGCAAUGGGGGAAACCCUGACGCAGCAACGCCGCGUGAGUGAUGAAGGCCUUUGGGUCGUAAAGCUCUGUCAGAGGGGAAGAAAUGAUAUAGUGCUAAUACCACUUUAUCUUGACGGUACCCUCAAAGGAAGCACCGGCUAACUCCGUGCCAGCAGCCGCGGUAAUAC